AAGCUGACAAACCCCACGCUAAGAGCUCAAGCAAGUCGAAGGUUUGAGGCGAUGCACCAAGUUAGAUUGAUUUAGAGAUAAUUUACAAAGACCUCAAGCCCUUAUAUUUAUAGCCCCGGGAAUUAACUAACCUAUCCGGAUAAGAAUCCCCUACUAACUAACUUACAUUGUUCGGACUCUAAUUAAAUACAAGAAUCCUAACCGAAUUUCAAGAUAAAACCUAAUUAAGCUACAUGGACUCACGAUUAAUACCGAACCCAUCUCCAAGCUUUGGGCCCAAUCGGACUCCAAUCCCCAUCCGAUCCGGACUCCAUGGACUGUUACUCUACCGUUUCCAAAUUCUUGCCUCCAGCCGAUUCGCCCCUUCUUGUCCGAUUUGGUCUUCAAUCGUGUUUCAAUCUAUAACGGUAAUUUGGCAAAAUCUGGCAUUAACAAUAUAUAAAAAGCAACACUCUUAUACCGUGUUUUCGAUGUAGACACACACAUUGACCACUUUCUGUUUUUCUCAACAAAAGUCGUUUGUCAAUUAUAUUAAUUUGGGGCGUAUGUAAUUCAUACACAUGAACUUGAACUUGUUACUUGGGUUUAUAUCUUGUUUCCAUUAUUAUUUGAGAGAGUUAGGAUGGAAAUAGGGUAGUUGGCAUAGGAAUGUAUUUCAGCAUAUAAUAUUUAGUGUGUGUGGUUGGAAAUGUCAUCUACUAGAGUGAAAUACAAGUAUUUUGCAUAAAACAUAAGGUUUUGUGAAACAUUUUGAGCUAAAUGCGGGGGGUUUUGGAAACCAUGUCAAGAAAAAUUGAUAAAAAAAUUUACUGGAACUGAGUAAUUUUCUCCAUAAUGUUUACGGUCAAUGCACCUAAAUGCAUUAAAGGAGUAGGGAUAUACCUGAAAUAGACAGGAAUCCUUCACGCACAACCAUCCAGGGUUCAGUUGCGCACAUAAAAGGUAUAAAAGCACAAGCUCAGCGAAGAAAACUUACUUAGCAGCGAAAAUAUGGCACGUCGGCCUAGCUUUCGAAAGGACCAACCAAGCAGCAAGCAGAAGACCCAACAAUACCACAUGCGAGCCUGAGCGAAGGGAACGACCCUAACACGAGCAAUCUUGACGAAAAUAUGUUCUUCUGAACCACAUUUUAUGUAAAGGGUGAAUACAAACGUACCCAGCAAACCACGAUCUAAGAAUACAAAUAGAAUACAUGCAAGUAGUACAAGAAUAUAGGAUUCAUCAAGAGGGGUUGAUAACCAGCCUAUUAUAAAUAGUUUUUCCCUAAUUUAAUAAACAAUUUAUUUGCAAACAUUUAUAAAUCGACAUUUUAAAACGUAGCAAUAUU
rnacentral:lncRNA from 1 species